rnacentral:rRNA from 1 species
AGAGUUUGAUCCUGGCUCAGAAUCAACGCUGGCGGCGUGCCUAGCACAUGCAAGUCGAACGCGAAAGUGGAGCAAUCCAUGAGUAGAGUGGCAAACGGGUGAGUAACACGUGGGUGACCUGCCUUCGAGUGGGGGAUAACGUCCCGAAAGGGACGCUAAUACCGCAUAACAUGCUGUCUUUUAAGAGAGAGACAUCAAAGCCGGGGACCGCAAGGCCUGGCGCUUGAAGAGGGGCCCGCGCCUGAUUAGCUAGUUGGUGGGGUAAUGGCUCACCAAGGCAACGAUCAGUAUCCGGCCUGAGAGGGCGGACGGACACACUGGGACUGAGACACGGCCCAGACUCCUACGGGAGGCAGCAGUGGGGAAUUGUUCGCAAUGGGCGCAAGCCUGACGACGCAACGCCGCGUGGAGGAUGAAGACCUUCGGGUCGUAAACUCCUUUCGAUCGAGACGAAUGGCCUCCGGGCUAACAUCCUGGAGGAGUGACGGUACCGAGAGAAGAAGCCCCGGCUAACUCCGUGCCAGCAGCCGCGGUAAUACGGGGGGGGCAAGCGUUGUUCGGAAUUACUGGGCGUAAAGGGCUCGUAGGCGGCCAACUAAGUCAUACGUGAAAUCCCUCGGCUUAACCGGGGAACUGCGUCUGAUACUGGAUGGCUUGAGUUCGGGAGAGGGAUGCGGAAUUCCAGGUGUAGCGGUGAAAUGCGUAGAUAUCUGGAGGAACACCGGUGGCGAAGGCGGCAUCCUGGACCGAUACUGACGCUGAGGAGCGAAAGCCAGGGGAGCAAACGGGAUUAGAUACCCUAGUAGUCC